UUGGAGGACUUUAGCGCACGCGCCUUUUCAGCACCGACUGUUUCUUCAAUGAAUUCCCCAAUGCACCUGCAACUUAGUUUGCCAAUCGCGCCCUCAAUUGUAGCAGGUAAUGUGGUGGGUGCUGUUGUGAAGGGUUAUUCAUUGACACCACAAAAAGAGAUACAAAACUACAUCAAUGCUGUUGGCAUAAUACUCGCUGCUCUGCUUAAGAAAUAUUGGAAUGCAAAUGAACACCAUGGUGAGCCGCUGAUAUGUGUCUUCAGUUGGUGCUGCCUUCAGUAAAAAUUGUGAAGACUCGCUGGUCGCACUAAAAUCGCUGCAAGAAAUUAUGUAUGACAAUGCAGACAAAUUGGCGUCACUUACAAACGAGAAAACAGCGGAAACAAAGAUGAGGAGUUUGCAGGAUUGCAUAAAAUAUUUGGCUAAAUAUCACCAUUGAAAGCACAAAGAUUACAACGAAAAACAACCACGCCAAAGAGGAGUUUUAUGUGCCUAGUCAAGCAUUUUUAACAUCGCUAAUACAAAUUUUCCCAGCCAUUUUCUAGCACAUACAAAAAAGGUGA